rnacentral:tRNA from 1 species
AGCCUUGUGGUGUAAAACACGUCAGAUUGCAAAUCUGAAAAUGCGGGCUCACCCCCGCUCGGGCUU